AUCAUCCGAUCAAGAAAUUCUACGAAAAAAGACACGUUGUGUGCCGGUAAACACUGUUAUUUAACUGAAUGAAAAGGUAAACAAUGAAUUAUGACCGUAAAAGCCUGCGCCACAGUUAUGAGAAACUGUCUAUUAAACAGCUUAAACAAAAACUAAAAGCAAAAAGCCAGAGAACGAAAGGCCACAAACGGGAUUUGAUAGAAAGGCUUAUUGACGCCAGUUUAAGUGAAAUGGACAAAAAAGGGGACAGAAAAUCUUCCUCUGAAAACACAACCCUCAAACAAAGACAUUCUCAUUCCACUAACGGUGAUGUUAAAGAUAAGUCCAAUCUACUAGACAUUAUGCAUCAAGAAAGACAAGAUCGCGAAAAAAUCGUCCUGUGGAGAAAACCGUUAAAGACUAUUCACUUCUCAUGUCUGGAGACAGCCUCACUUCUGAAUCAGGCUGGAAAAAAGUUAUGGAGACGAAAGAUCGCUGUGGUGACGUCUAUGUUGAUGCUGUUUACGUUUUAUCUCGUCUACAUUACUCAGGGAACACACCAGCCAUAUGUUGCAAAAAUAGAGAAAUAUGUAUUAUGGUGUGCAUAUUGGUUAGGUCUUGGUGUACUAUCAUCUGUAGGUCUGGGGACAGGAUUACAUACAUUUCUAUUAUAUCUGGGACCACAUAUUGCAGCAGUAACAUUAGCAGCUUAUGAAUGUAAAUCUACAGACUUUCCAGAACCACCAUAUCCCACAGAAAUAGUUUGUCCGGAAGGUGUAACGGAUGGCAGUGCAGUAUCAUUAUGGACUAUAAUGAAUAAAGUCAGACUUGAAGCUAUUAUGUGGGGUGCUGGUACUGCACUUGGAGAGUUACCGCCCUAUUUUAUGGCGAGGGCAGCUAGGCUUUCGGGGGCAGAUCUUGAUGAUGAUGAGUUUGAAGAAAUAGAAGAACUCAUUCAUGAGAAAAAAGAGCAUCCUGAAGAAUUAGGAUUUAUGGAAAAAUCUAAAUUAGCUGUACAUAACCUUGUACAGAAAGUUGGGUUCUUUGGUAUCUUAGCCUGUGCAUCUAUACCAAACCCUUUGUUUGAUUUGGCAGGAAUCACAUGUGGUCAUUUUCUCAUUCCAUUUUGGACAUUUUUUGGUGCAACAUUAAUAGGAAAAGCUGUUAUUAAAAUGCAUAUACAGAAAUUAUUUAUUAUAUUCAUGUUUAGUGCACAUCAUGUGGAAACUAUAGUCAAGUUAAUAGGAAAAAUUCCCGCCAUAGGUAUAUCUUUACAGACUCCAUUUAAAGAAUAUUUAGAAGUGCAGAAGAAAAAGCUUCAUCAUAAACCAGGGACUCAUGUCAAAUCUGAUUCCAACCUGUUGGGAUGGAUAUUUGAGAAACUUAUUAUUGUAAUGGUUGUAUAUUUUGUCCUGUCAAUCAUCAACUCCACAGCCCAGAGCUACCACAAAAGACUGUGUAAAGAAAAACACAAGAAAUCUCAAUCAUGAUUAGAGAUAUAUUGUGUAUAAAAAAAAAACAGUGCAAAUAUUGUUUGUAAAACUGUACUACUGUUCGUGUGUGUGUGUAUUUGUGAGUUCAAACCGUAUUAGGUUAAUUCUUUUAUACAAUGUAGCACAUAUCAUUUCAGUUGUGUAGUUUUUUUUAAUUGAACUUUUCAUUUACUAUAGUUAUGUAUUAAAGGAUGGAAAUUCUAUUUUCUUAUGAUUUUCAAUUAUAUUUUUGUUAAUUUUAUUUGUUUGAUUUUGAAAUAUUUUGAAACUUCACUAUUUUUAAAAAAGUUGAUAAAAGAAUUAAUUUAUCAUGGCAUAUUUAUUGUAUUUGAAUGUUUGUAAUACAAAUUCUGAAUAACUUAUUUUAAAUGUAUAUAGUUGACUAUAUUAAUGGAAUGCUUCAUACUGUGAAAAUUAUAUCAGACAAUCCCAUUGUUUUCAGCACAACAUACAUAGCAAAAAAACUAUUUUUGAAGUUCAUUUUUCAAUGAAAAUAAGAAUAAAGAGAUGUGGUUAGAUUGAUGCUGGAUUUCAAAUAAGGUGGGUAUGUGUUUUACUCAUUGUUGAAGGCCAUCCAUUGACCUCUAAUUGUUAAUUUCUGUGACAUUUGAUCUCUUGUAGAAAGGUGUUUCAUAAGCAAUCAAACCACAUCUGUUUAUAUAUACAUAUAUAUAUAUAUAUAUGCAAUUUAACUCACCUAUGAUCAUAUUUUUUUGAUUUAAGACCAUAUUAUUUAAACAGUAUAUAUAUUCUCUUCCCCUUUGAGGUGAGUUAAGUACAUAUUUAACAGUUGUAUAACCACAUCCUUACAUAAUAACCCUGUCAGAAUUUUUGUUACCUUACAAAGUAAUUUCAAUGCUUGUGCAGUUGAGCAAUUUAUAAGCUAUAGUACAUUUUGUCAUUUAAAUGUUUCCUCUCACACUUCAUUGAUUAUCUGGGACUAAUACUGUAAAUUCAGAGUUUAUUGUGUGUAUUUAUUAUUGAGAUUUUUUAAGAAUGGACAAAAAUGUUGAAUUUAUUAUUGCGAAUUCAGGCCCAUACAGUUAUAUGAAGUGGAUAUCAGUAAGGGAGUUCUUAUUAUUGUAAUACAAACCUUGUCGCAUUAUUCACAUUAAUUAAACCGUCACAAUAAUUUCUGAAUUAACAGUACUUUAGAAUAUAAUUGUAUGGCAUAAAAGCAUUGACCAAUGCAUAUUUUGAUGACGGUGAUGUGCUAAAAAUGCGCACAAAACCAACACUUUAAUGACCCUAUAGAAUUUCAAAAUGAAGCUUUCAAUACUUAUAAUUAUGAUUUUAUACUUUAACCAUGAAAUUACAAGUAAAAUAAAGCUUGCAUUUGUUUCUCUUUGCAUCUUUGUCAUAGGUAGCACUUGAAAUCAUCAACAUUAGAUUUAGAUAUGAAAUACAAAUAUCAUUUUGCAAUGCCUUGCCAUUGUGUGUGUGCAAUUUUGCACCAAAACGUUUUCCAAAUACUAGUUCAAAGACUGAUAUUCUGACAAUUUUCUUAUUCAUGUAAACAAAUAUUUGCAGAUACUUACUAGUCCAAAUAUAAUUGAAUAGUCCGUGACAUCGACUAGUGGUUUAUUGUGAGGACUAUGUAUGUCUAUCAGAAUUACAAAUUUUGAUGAAACAUUUAUGUAAUGUAAUUGUGUAUUGUUAAUUCGGACAUUAUUGCAUGCAUUUAUGAUUGCAACUUUUCACGAAAUAGACAAAAAAUAGAGUUUAAUUAUUUUGAUUUAAAAAAAAGUCUUAAAAAUCUAUAUUUAUUUUUGAGAAUGCAUGUUCUUAUUUUUGUGAUACUCAUCCAGUGGCAUUAUUCCAAUUAAUAAAUACCUUGCAAUAAUUUAAGAAUUUAAAGUAUCUAUUUGUCCCACUGAUAACAAGAGUAAUUGUUGUACAUUAUCCCUACAUUCCUUUAUACCUGGUUUGAAAUGUUUUUUUCAUAAGGUAUACAUUAGUAAAUGUAAUAAUUAGUCUAGUUAAUGUUCUUAUGAUACCAAUGUUUAUUAUCAACAUGACUGGUAGAUUUAAUUAUUGUUUCAUAUUUUAUAACCUAGUAGUGAUACCAUCUUGUGAGUCUGGACAUAGGGCAUUAUUGAGCAUAUAAAAAAUAUAAACUCUAAAUGUAUUGAUUUUUCAAACAUGAAAUGAAUAUUUAACAAAACUAAAAUCUAUCGACCCAACUACUUUUGUUUAACAUGUACAAUAUCCAAUUUACCCUUGGCCUUGGCAUGGUUUUGUUGGCUAGUUUUAAGCAGGCACUUAUAUAUUUAUUACAACAUAUUUAACUGGAGAGGGUUUCAAUAAAAAGAAGGAGCCUCAGUGGCUGAGGGGUCGAAGUACUCAAACUACUAUAUUUAUAGCCUGUCAACACUGAGGUUGUGAGACCCGCACGGAGAAGAGGCACUUGACUCCAAUCUUAAUUGACAGAAAUUGUAAGUUUUCCUUUCGAAGGUUGGUUGUUUUCUCUUGGCACUCUGGCUUCCUCUACCAAUAAAAAACUUGCUGCCACGAAAUAGCACAAUAUAUUCUUAAAAUCCUCUGGUGAUCUUUGUAUGUCUAUAUAUAUACUCAAAACAAAAUGUACACAAAUUUGUAUAACUUUUAAGUUAGUCCAUCUGAUUCAGUAGGAAUUUCUUUGUGAUGUUAACCAUCAUCUGAUACUACUACUACACUGUUGGUACUCAAAUCAGUCACAUACACAUUCCCCUCAUCAUCUGAUGUCACAUAUCUGUAAAAAAAAUAAAAAAUUGUAUGAUCAUAUUCAUUUAAAAUUUUAAUGUAUAACUAGUCUAUGAACAAAUGUACACAUGACACUUAUACAAGUACAAGGAACUUCUCUUGUGCAUUUUUAUUCUGAAACACAACAAGCAAGUACAAAAUGGUGAUCCAUUGAAGAAUUAUAUAAAAAAAAUAUUUAAUGUUGGCAAAGCAUGUUCCAAAUGUUCAGUAACCGAUCCCUCUCUUAUUCUAUCCUCACUAUAAUGUUGGCAAAUGUAUUCCUAUUAGUCACAUAAACAUUCCCCUCAUCAUUUGAUGUCCAAAAUCUGCAAAAAAAAAUAAAAAAAUUUAAGACCAUUUACAUGUUAAAAUUUAUAAAAAUAUAUAACUUGUAAUGAAGAACGGAUCUUUGUAAGCAUACAAUGAACACAUGACACUCAAAUACAAAUUCGACAAAUCUCUAGUGGCCAGGCCCCCCCUUUUAGUGGGAAAAAUUUGUUGAUUAUAUAGGGAAAUAUUGGAGCAUGACUGGAGUAGAUCCUCCCCUAGGACAGUCAGUGGGCCCUCCCCUAAUAAUAAGUUCUGGAAAUGCCACUGUGUGGUUUUCUAUAAGUCACAUAAACAUUCCCCACAUCUGAAACCUAGAGGUUAAUUAUAAAUGAAAAUGAUCUUUUGUAUGACCAUUACACUUGAAAAAUUAUGUUAAAUAAUAUGCAUUUUUAUUAUGAGACCAAUAGAUUGAUUAAAAAAAAUAAAAAUUAUCUUUUGUAUGACCAUAUACUUGGUAAACUUGUUAAAAAAACUGAUCUCAGUGAGCAUACAAACUGCUAAUAAAAAACUGAUCUCAGUGAGCAUACAAUGUACACACAACACUAAAACAAAUACCAGGAGUUUUCUGUAGUGUAUUUUUAUUCUGAAACACAACAAUCAAGUAGAAAAAAUGGUAAUCCUUCAAAUUAUUGCAUAACAAAAGUUGUUGGCAAAUCAUUUUCCAAAAAUCAACUCCAGAAUUAACCCUCAGCCUGAUUAACUCAAGCUUUAGCAACAUGUCAUUAUAUAAGUUUUGACCAAGGUCGGUAGAUGAUGGUACUAUAUAAAGGUCAAACUUUUUUAAGCUUUCAGUUUGGAUUAAUACAAUAUAUUUAGGUAUAAACUUCCUGAUAUAAUUUGAUUUUAGACUAAGCUGAUAAUACUAAAAGGACACUUCUAAGUAUUGUAUAUUCAGAAAUUAUUAAAAACUUUUUGUACAUACGAAUAAUGUGACUUGGUUAUUAUCACAAUAAUAAGAACUUGCAUUCUGAUAUCUAAUACAUAUAUAUACAUAUAUGGAUAUAUAUAUAUGGAUGUAGAUUUCCCUGAAUUGGCAAUAAUUGAUCUUGCGUUUUUGUCCAUUCUUCUAAAAUCUCCCUAAUAAUAAAUGCAUGCAAUAAUUUCUGAAUUGUCAGUACUUGCUGUAACAAAUUUAAUUGAAUGUUAUCAUUGUUUAACAAAUACACAAUUUUUGGUCUUUUUCAAUGCCAAUUAUGAGAAACGAAAAAAAUAUAUUGCCUGCUGCAACUAUUUCAGAUGAUAUUUCUUCAUUAUUUUGUCUUUUUCAAUGCAUUUGUAUAAGCACAUGUAAAAAAGUGUUGGUCAUAGACCAUAUUCAAUUUAUAAAUGUAUAGUUUUGUAUAAAUAUUUUAUAUUUGUAAAUAUUGAUGUAUUUAUUUCUAGUCUCAGUGCUUGAUUUGAUAUUGUGCAAUUUUCAAAAAACAAAAUAUCUGUCCAAGAUAUUAGUUUAACAUUUUUGUUUCAGAAGUGACAAGAUAAAAUACUAAAAGGGUAUGCAUUUUGAUACUGUUCCCAGUUACUAAUCUGGCUAUCUGUUACAGCAAAAUGUCUUGAGUGUGUAGGUAAAGGUGAUAUCUUUGGUUAGCUUGCCGUAAACUAAUUAUAAGUUAGGUAUACUACCCUCCUUUCAAAGUAGUCUAGUCCUACAGACAGAUUGAUUGGUUAUCUGUCGGAUUAGUCUACUCUUAAAGGUGGGUUUUGUACCUAACUUGAUGAGGAAUUCACAGUUCAGCUAGCAAGCAAGCUAAC